AGAGUUUGAUCAUGGCUCAGGAUGAACGCUAGCUACAGGCUUAACACAUGCAAGUCGAGGGGCAGCAUGUUGGUUGCUUGCAACCAAUGAUGGCGACCGGCGCACGGGUGAGUAACGCGUAUCCAACCUACCCUUGUCCAUCGGAUAAUCCGUCGAAAGGCGGCCUAACACGAUAUGCGGUUCUCAGCAGGCAUCUAACGAGAACGAAAUGUGAAGGAGAAGGAUGGGGAUGCGUCUGAUUAGCUUGUUGGCGGGGUAACGGCCACCAAGGCGACGACCAGUAGGGGUUCUGAGAGGAAGGUCCCCCACAUUGGAACUGAGACACGGUCCAAACUCCAACGGGAGCA
rnacentral:rRNA from 1 species